AUACGGAGGGUGCAAGCGUUGUUCGGAUUCACUGGGUAUAAAGGGUGCGCAGGCGGCCCGAUAAGUCAGAGGUGAAAUAUGACGGCUUAACCGUCAAACUGCCUCUGAAACUGUCAGGCUUGAGUCCGGGAGAGGUAGGUGGAAUUCCAGGUGUAGCGGUGAAAUGCGUAAAUAUCUGGAGGAACACCGGUGGCGAAGGCGGCCUACUGGCCCGGAACUGACGCUCAGGCACGAAAGCAUGGGGAGCGAACCGGAUUAGAAACCCCAGUAGUCC
rnacentral:rRNA from 1 species